CGAAGGGUGCAAGCGUUACUCGGAAUUACUGGGCGUAAAGCGUGCGUAGGUGGUUCGUUAAGUCUGAUGUGAAAGCCCUGGGCUCAACCUGGGAAUGGCAUUGGAUACUGGCGACCUAGAGUGCGGUAGAGGGGUGUGGAAUUCCCGGUGUAGCAGUGAAAUGCGUAGAUAUCGGGAGGAACAUCUGUGGCGAAGGCGACACCCUGGACCAGCACUGACACUGAGGCACGAAAGCGUGGGGAGCAAACAGGAUUAGAUACCCUGGUAGUCCACGCCCUAAACGAUGCGAACUGGAAGUUGGGGACAACUUGGUCCUCAGUUUCGAAGCUAACGCGUUAAGUUCGCCGCCUGGGAAGUACGGUCGCAAGACUG
rnacentral:rRNA from 1 species